rnacentral:rRNA from 1 species
GCCUCUAUUUAUAAGCUAUCACUGAAGGAGGGGAUUGCGUCUGAUUAGCUAGUUGGAGGGGUAACGGCCCACCAAGGCGAUGAUCAGUAGCCGGUCUGAGAGGAUGAACGGCCACAUUGGGACUGAGACACGGCCCAGACUCCUACGGGAGGCAGCAGUGGGGAAUCUUCCGCAAUGGGCGAAAGCCUGAUGCAGCGACGCCGCGUGAGGGAUGGAGGCCUUCGGGUUGUAAACCUCUUUCGCUCAUGGUCAAGCCGCAACUUAGGGUUGUGGUGAGGGUAGUGGGUAAAGAAGCGCCGGCUAACUACGUGCCAGCAGCCGCGGUAAUACGUAGGGCGCGAGCGUUGUCCGGAAUUAUUGGGCGUAAAGGGCUUGUAGGCGGUUGGUCGCGUCUGCCGUGAAAUCCUCUGGCUUAACUGGGGGCGUGCGGUGGGUACGGGCUGACUUGAGUGCGGUAGGGGAGACUGGAACUCCUGGUGUAGCGGUGGAAUGCGCAGAUAUCAGGAAGAACACCGGUGGCGAAGGCGGGUCUCUGGGCCGUUACUGACGCUGAGGAGCGAAAGCGUGGGGAGCGAACAGGAUUAGAUACCCUGGUAGUCCACGCUGUAAACGUUGGGCACUAGGUGUGGGGGCCACCCGUGGUUUCUGCGCCGUAGCUAACGCUUUAAGUGCCCCGCCUGGGGAGUACGGCCGCAAGGCUAAAACUCAAAGGAAUUGACGGC